GAUGAACGCUGGCGGCGUGCCUAAUACACGCAAGUCGAGCGAACGGACGAGAAGCUUGCUUCUCUGAUGUUAGCGGCGGACGGGUGAGUAACACGUGGAUAACCUACCUAUAAGACUGGGAUAACUUCGGGAAACCGGAGCUAAUACCGGAUAAUAUUUUGAACCGCAUGGUUCAAAAGUGAAAGACGGUCUUGCUGUCACUUAUAGAUGGUUCCGCGCUGCAUUAGCUAGUUGGUAAGGUAACGGCUUACCAAGGCAACGAUGCAUAGCCGACCUGAGAGGGUGAUCGGCCACACUGGAACUGAGACACGGUCCAGACUCCUACGGGAGGCAGCAGUAGGGAAUCUUCCGCAAUGGGCGAAAGCCUGACGGAGCAACGCCGCGUGAGUGAUGAAGGUCUUCGGAUCGUAAAACUCUGUUAUUAGGGAAGAACAUAUGUGUAAGUAACUGUGCACAUCUUGACGGUACCUAAUCAGAAAGCCACGGCUAACUACGUG
rnacentral:rRNA from 1 species